rnacentral:rRNA from 1 species
UAGGGAAUCUUCCACAAUGGACGAAAGUCUGAUGGAGCAACGCCGCGUGAGCGAUGAAGGCCUUCGGGUCGUAAAGCUCUCUUGUUAGGGAAGAACAAGUACCGGAGUAACUGCCGGUACCUUGACGGUACCUAACCAGAAAGCCACGGCUAACUACGUGCCAGCAGCCGCGGUAAUACGUAGGUGGCAAGCGUUGUCCGGAAUUAUUGGGCGUAAAGCGCGCGCAGGCGGUCCUUUAAGUCUGAUGUGAAAGCCCACGGCUCAACCGUGGAGGGUCAUUGGAAACUGGGGGACUUGAGUGCAGAAGAGGAAAGCGGAAUUCCACGUGUAGCGGUGAAAUGCGUAGAGAUGUGGAGGAACACCAGUGGCGAAGGCGGCUUUCUGGUCUGUAACUGACGCUGAGGCGCGAAAGCGUGGGGAGCAAACA